UACGUAGGGUGCGAGCGUUGUCCGGAAUUAUUGGGCGUAAAGGGCUCGUAGGCGGUCUGUCACGUCGGGAGUGAAAACACGGGGCUUAACCCCGUGCCUGCUUCCGAUACGGGCAGACUAGAGGUAUGCAGGGGAGAACGGAAUUCCUGGUGUAGCGGUGAAAUGCGCAGAUAUCAGGAGGAACACCGGUGGCGAAGGCGGUUCUCUGGGCAUUACCUGACGCUGAGGAGCGAAAGCCAGGGGAGCAAACGGG
rnacentral:rRNA from 1 species